GAUGAACGCUGGCGGUGUGCCUAAUACAUGCAAGUCGAGCGAACGGACGAGAAGCUUGCUUCUCUGAUGUUAGCGGCGGACGGGUGAGUAACACGUGGAUAACCUACCUAUAAGACUGGGAUAACUUCGGGAAACCGUAGCUAAUACCGGAUAAUAUUUUGAACCGCAUGGUUCAAAAGUGAAAGACGGUCUUGCUGUCACUUAUAGAUGGAUCCGCGCUGCAUUAGCUAGUUGGUAAGGUAACGGCUUACCAAGGCAACGAUGCAUAGCCGACCUGAGAGGGUGAUCGGCCACACUGGAACUGAGACACGGUCCAGACUCCUACGGGAGGCAGCAGUAGGGAAUCUUCCGCAAUGGGCGAAAGCCUGACGGAGCAACGCCGCGUGAGUGAUGAAGGUCUUCGGAUCGUAAAACUCUGUUAUUAGGGAAGAACAUAUGUGUAGGUAACUGUGCACAUCUUGACGGUACCUAAUCAGAAAGCCACGGCUAACUACGUG
rnacentral:rRNA from 1 species